rnacentral:rRNA from 1 species
AUNUGCAGUCGAGCGAACUGAUUAGAAGCUUGCUUCUAUGACGUUAGCGGCGGACGGGUGAGUAACACGUGGGCAACCUGCCUGUAAGACUGGGAUAACUUCGGGAAACCGAAGCUAAUACCGGAUAGGAUCUUCUCCUUCAUGGGAGAUGAUUGAAAGAUGGUUUCGGCUAUCACUUACAGAUGGGCCCGCGGUGCAUUAGCUAGUUGGUGAGGUAACGGCUCACCAAGGCAACGAUGCAUAGCCGACCUGAGAGGGUGAUCGGCCACACUGGGACUGAGACACGGCCCAGACUCCUACGGGAGGCAGCAGUAGGGAAUCUUCCGCAAUGGACGAAAGUCUGACGGAGCAACGCCGCGUGAGUGAUGAAGGCUUUCGGGUCGUAAAACUCUGUUGUUAGGGAAGAACAAGUACAAGAGUAACUGCUUGUACCUUGACGGUACCUAACCAGAAAGCCACGGCUAACUACGUGCCAGCAGCCGCGGUAAUACGUAGGUGGCAAGCGUUAUCCGGAAUUAUUGGGCGUAAAGCGCGCGCAGGCGGUUUCUUAAGUCUGAUGUGAAAGCCCACGGCUCAACCGUGGAGGGUCAUUGGAAACUGGGGAACUUGAGUGCAGAAGAGAAAAGCGGAAUUCCACGUGUAGCGGUGAAAUGCGUAGAGAUGUGGAGGAACACCAGUGGCGAAGGCGGCUUUUUGGUCUGUAACUGACGCUGAGGCGCGAAAGCGUGGGGAGCAAACAGGAUUAGAUACCCUGGUAGUCCACGCCGUAAACGAUGAGUGCUAAGUGUUAGAGGGUUUCCGCUCUUUAGUGCUGUAGCUAACGCAUUAAGCACUCCGCCUGGGGAGUACG